CCCCUGGGAGAAGAGGGGCUUUGUGACAGGCUGGGGGACAAAACAAGGGGUGCCGGACACUGUUACUGGGGCAGCUGCCUGGCCAGGUGGAGGCAGCUUUGGCCUGGGUGCCUCUCACCCGCAGGCCAGGGGGAGGGCAGAAGGAUGGAAUUUCUUCUAGAGCAGCAAUCCUGGUUACCUGGUAAAUUACACAUUGGGACUGUGCCAACCACGCCUCCAUUUUCUCUGGGCUGCUGAGACGACCUCAUCCUGCCUCUUGCCUGUGCCAGGCGAUCACUUCUAUCUAAACCAACUCUCACACUCCACCAGGACACGCCAUCUUGGUGCUCAUGGAUGAAAAACCCCUAACACCAAAGGUGAGGAUCCCUUAAGGCAACAAACAAGCCCUAGAGAAGAAACUAUGCAUGGUCAACAUGGCUGGAGGUACAAGAGGAGUAUAGGAGAGUUGGCUUCAUUUUAUUGCUUCUGAAUUCUCCUUUGUACAUUUGGGGAGCUCAGGCUGGUUCUGGGGAAACUAGAAGACUCUGAGGAUACAGGUCCUGGCUGCAGAAGCUUCAGGAAGACUGUCCAACCCCAAGUCAGUCAAGGUUGACGAUGGCUAAAUCUCUCAAAUGAUGCUUUUCAUUCCAGUAUUUAUUGAAAAGGAAAACCAGCACUCCAGGAAUAACUUCUAUGAAAACCACCAGUGCUUCCUCAUCUGAAUUCUUUCAACAUACAUUUAUGACAUUCCUGCUUCACACACAGCUUCACAAAAUCUUAACAAAAGUACAAUCUACCUUGGAAGAUUGGAAGGAAGGCUCUAGAAGCUGGUGCCCAGUUACACUGAUGAUUUUGGUUACAUUUACUACUUAGCGCAAAUAAAAAUUAUAAAUCUCUCAUGAAAUCAUUAUCUUCUCUUUGUCACUAGCCCCUAGUCAAUCUGUAAUCUCUGGCUAUAACAGAAUUCUCCCAGUCUCCUCCCCACCCCCACUGAAUCUAAGGGAUGUGGCGAUGUAGAGAGAGGAGAGAGAUCAAGUAUCCAAAUGGGUAGGAAUUUCUAUUGAUGAAAUCACUUGGUCAAAACUUGCCUAAUAAAAAUAAUGAAUAAGCACACUUAUCGAGGGCUUAUACUGCACUAGUCAGGCAUCAUGCUAACUAUAUUACAUACAGACAUUUAGGCUCACACCCUAUGAAACAGGUACCACAAUCACACCACAUUAUAAUUGAGGGCACCAAGGCUUAGGGAAGUCACAUAACUUACCCAAGAUCAUAUUUCUUGUAAGUGAUGGAGUGCU